CCUACGGGGGGCAGCAGUGAGGAAUAUUGGUCAAUGGACGAGAGUCUGAACCAGCCAAGUAGCGUGAAGGAUGACUGCCCUAUGGGUUGUAAACUUCUUUUAUAUGGGAAUAAAAUGUUCCACGUGUGGGAUUUUGUAUGUACCAUAUGAAUAAGGAUCGGCUAACUCCGUGCCAGCAGCCGCGGUAAUACGGAAGAUCCGAGCGUUAUCCGGAUUUAUUGGGUUUAAAGGGAGCGUAGGUGGAUUGUUAAGUCAGUUGUGAAAGUUUGCGGCUCAACCGUAAAAUUGCAGUUGAAACUGGCAGUCUUGAGUACAGUAGAGGUGGGCGGAAUUCGUGGUGUAGCGGUGAAAUGCUUAGAUAUCACGAAGAACUCCGAUUGCGAAGGCAGUUCACUGGACUGCAACUGACACUGAGGCUCGAAAGUGUGGGUAUCAAACAGGAUUAGAUACCCUAGUAGUC
rnacentral:rRNA from 1 species